rnacentral:ncRNA from 1 species
ACCCCAGUGAGAAUGCCCUUAAUACUCUUAUGAAAUUAAGGAGCUGGCAUCAGGCACACAUUUUAUUUGUAGCCCAUAACGCCUUGCUAAGCCACACCCCCAAGGGAUUUCAGCAGUGAUAAACAUUAAGCAAUAAGAGAAAACUUGACUUAGUUAAAGUAUUAAGAGUCGGUAAAACUCGUGCCAGCCACCGCGGUUAUACGAGAGACUCAAAAUGAUAAACACCGGCGUAAAGAGUGGUUAGGAAAUUAUUUACUAAAGCCAAACAUUUUCUUAGCUGUUAUACGCAAUCGAAAAUAUGAAGUUUAAUAACGAAAGUAGCUUUAAAAAACUGAAUCCACAAAAGCUAUAGAACAAACUGGGAUUAGAUACCCCACUAUGUUUAGCCAUAAACCCCGAUAAAAUAAUACCCCUUUAUCCGCCAGGGGAUUACGAGCACCAGCUUAAAACCCGAAGGACUUGGCGGUGCUUCAAACCCACCUAGAGGAGCCUGUUCUAGAACCGAUAACCCCCGUUAAACCUCACCCUCCCUUGUUUUAACCGCCUAUAUACCGCCGUCGUCAGCUUACCUUUUGAAAGAAUAGUAGUGAGCAGAACUGGUAAAACCCAAAAAGUCAGGUCGAGGUGUAGUAAAUGAGAGGGAAAGAAAUGGGCUACAUUCACCCACUGGUGAAUAACGAAUUAAUUAUUGAAACAAUAAUUAUGAAGGAGGAUUUAGAAGUAAGAGAAAAGUAGAGUGUUUUUCUGAAACAGGCCCUGAAGCGCGCACACACCGCCCGUCACUCUCCUCUAACAUUACCCAACACUAAAUAAAUCAUAAUAAUACAACAAGAGGAGGCAAGUCGUAACAUGGUAAGUGUACCGGAAGGUGCACUUGGAAU